AAUCAACGCUGGCGGCGUGCCUAACACAUGCAAGUCGAACGCGAAGACCCCGCAAGGGGUUGUUAGCGUGGCAAACGGGUGAGUAACACGUGGGUGACCUGCCUUCGAGUGGGGGAUAACGUCCCGAAAGGGACGCUAAUACCGCAUAACAUCCUGCCUUUAGAUAGGUGGAGAGCAAAGCUGGGGAUCGCAAGACCCGGCGCUUGAAG
rnacentral:rRNA from 1 species